GCCUGAUCCCGGGAGGCCGGGGUGGGGCUGGAGCCGGCCUGAGGCGGGGCAGGAAGAGGGCGGACCGGGCCCCCCUGGAGCGCACGGCUGGGGGCUGGGGACGAGCUGCGGGACUUGGGUGGGCUUUCCGCGCAGUCCGUGUCGCCACUGGCCGGGGGAAGAGCGGCUUGAGAACGGGCCCGGUCCGCUGUGCUUCCCCCGAUCGCCCCCAGCGGAGCUUCACGCCAGCUCCCCUGCAGCGCCCCACAACUGCUCGUCCCUUACGGGACACUGGGAGGCGGAGCUUGGGCUUGCUCCAGCCUCUCUGGACUCCGCUGACUUCCACUCUCCUUCAUGUCAUUGCUCUUGGCUAUGAGGCCACGUAAGACGAAAUAAAGAGCUCCCAGUCCCGGGAGUCAGGUUCCGUGCGCACUCCGACUUCUUCGUUUACUAGCCUUGGCACCAGGAACCAUCAAGAAGCAGGAUAUGUAAAAACUCGUCUGAGGGCCUAGUUCUCUCAUCUCCAUAAUGGAGAUUCUGAGGACGCUACCUUCUGGGGGGGUGGUUAUCUUGAGUUGGUCAGUGGCACGAAUGCCAACCCUUCUGCCUGGCACCUGCCAAGGGCCGGUGUCCAGCUGCGUGAGCAUUUGUGGAUCACCUGUGUUCUGUUCUGAGGAAGGUUCAGGGAGGUCAGGUUCACGGAAAACAAACUUCCUCCACUCCCUGCUCCUCUGAACUUUUUCUUGGCAGUCAAUUUUCGAGCAAUCGAGCAUAACCCAGAGGAAGCCGCCUUUACCCUUAAACACACAGAGGCUUAGAGUUCAAAGUAGCGAAAGAAAACAGCAAUGGUUUUCGGAGAGUUGGGAUUAGAGGUUAAGACUUAUGGCCCGGCUUUAAGAGCUGUCUAAUACCUAAGCUUUUAGCAUUUUGACCUCUAGCCACACAGAGGUUGCCUUCUCUUGGUGUAACUGUCAUCAGGCUUUGACUUGUAAUUCUGGUUCUGUUGAUUUCUUUAGGAUUUGAUGCAAUUCUGCUCAGUGUGGGGAGGUUGUAGAAAGGUCGAAAUGUCCUUCUCUAGGAAUUGCAUCAAGGAAUGGAAAACCACCAUUUGAAUCUGAACCGGCAGCAAAGCACAUUUCUACGACAUAGCCAACAUUUAUUGAGCUCUUAGUAUGUGUCCUGAAUUCGGCCACGAUCUUCACGCGUGUUAAAAGUGCAUCAUUGAUUUUCAGUUUGUUUGAACAAGUUUCUUGUGUGCAGAAAUUGUUAGUUGAAGGGAAAUUUGUUUAUAGCUUGGGGGCUGGGCAUGAAAUAAAAUUGAAAACGAAAAGAAGCUUUGUUCUCAGUGGAAAGAAAAAAUAAACAGCUCUGACUAGAAUCAAAGUUUCUAUAAGUUGCAUUAGAGUCCGAAAUCAAUAAAAAUCAUACCUUCUGCUUUGAAGACAUGUGCUCCUCUUUUGGAGUAUAAGAGGGUACUAGGAAGCUGGGAACACUUUUAAAUCUUCCUUCGACACUAGAAGCUAACCUUAGGUGUUGUAUCGCUUUGUCUGACAGCCGUUUACCGUUUCCUUUAAAUUCACCUUACAGCAGGGAAAAAGAAAUAGAUUCUAGAGUCGAAUUCACCAUAGGAAGUACCCAGUUUUUUUCUCACUUUUUGUUGUGGUGGAACAUAUCCAGAAAGUAGCUUUUUAACUUUUCUUUUCUUUUCUUUUCUUUUCUUUUCUUUUCUUUUCUUUCUUUCUUUUUUUGAGACAAAGUCUCACUAUGUAUCCCUGGCUGUCUUGGAACUCAGACCUCUUUGCUUUUCUACCUCCGGAGUGCUUGCAUUAAAAUCUUGUGUGACCACAUCCGGCAUGCUAAGGAGGAAGAGAAGUAGGUCUCUUUGUCUUUGUCUCUGUGUCUCUGUCUCUUUAUGUAAGGGGCUCACUGUGUAGCUCCUGGCUGGCCUGGAACUCACAUGUUGACUAGGUUGGCUUCCGAUCAGAGAUCGGUGCCUGCCUCUGCCUCUUAAAGAAGUGGAGCAGCACGCCCAGCCACUAGUUUUCUUUGUGUCUAUAGUUGUUACAUGGUAAUUAGGAACCAUUCUUGAAGCCUUUCUGAGUGUUUCAAACUCUGGAGUCGUAUCUCUUAUCAUUUGCAAAUCUAAGUAAUUGCAGAUUUCUUUAUUUCCGCCCUCAGAACACAAAAUGGCUCGAGGGUUUUAGUUUUUCCUGUUGUACAGCAUCCGUUACUACUAGUAUUUCGAUUUUCCCUUGGGUAAGUGUGCCAUUGUAUUUGUUGGCUUUGUCGGAUAGUAGUAGAGUAGUUGCCAAAGUAUGCUCCUCUCCACGUUGUGUCUAUGGCUUUGCAAAGUUUCUGAUUUUCAGUUCCCUGUGCUUAAGCUGUGGUCUGAAAAUACUCAAUGGAAAAUACUCAAUGGAAAAAAAAA